rnacentral:sRNA from 1 species
UAUUCUGCCCCACGGGGAAGGAUGAGAAGCUUCGACUAAGGUUCGACUCGAGCGAAGCGAGAGAACGUUGCUGCAGGCAACGGCCCGAAGGGCGAGGAGCGAUAGCGACGAGUUAUCCUUCCCCCACCACCA